rnacentral:rRNA from 1 species
AUGGCGGAUAAAACUACUGCAGUUCCUAUUGGCAUUUGUGAGGAUGCCCCUGGUGUUGUUGGUAAUGUUAUGAUGUUAACUGACUUUGUUAUACUUAAUAUGCUCGAUGAUGUCAGCAUGAAAGUGAAAGUUGACGCCCUCAAAGAUGUUCCGGCUAGUCUGGUGGUUUUUGGUGCCAAGAACUUUAGUGGUCAGUCCUGGACCUGCCCUGUUGUGAUAGUGGAUGACAAUCCUAUUGGAGUGCCACCUCCUGAUGAAGACCCAGUUCCUGAAGAUGGCAACCCUCACCCAAGGCCACCAGAGCAAUUCCAUCACCCCAAUCAAAACAAUCUUAUGGUUGGGCCAGUUGCUUUUCACCUACUGCAGCCUAAGCAACAGAUUUUGCCUGUCAUUGAGGAAGCUCCAGCACAGGAUGAUGAAGAUGAAGGCUGGGGUCACUGGGCUAUGCCACAGCAACAACAUCCUGUAGAUGUGGAAAUUCAUGCUGGAGAGUUUCUGAAAUUAAAUGACUUAAUGGGACCUCUUGAAGUACAUGUUGUGCAGCCAGAAGAUGAUCACAGUGGUCUCACUUUAUCUUUGGGACUGCCAAGUGCAAAUGUUAGUUCUGCUGAGUCUGCUAUUGGAGCACCAGGCAUACCAUAUCUGGAUGAGCUUCUGGCACCCCUAGUUCUACCAGAAGUUCAACCAGUUGUACCUGUUGCACAUGCUGCUUUUGAUCUUAAUCAACCCAUCGAACAGCUGCCCCUGGAGGACUUUGCAAUUCCUGAAGUUCCUUUGCCUGCUGCUGAGAAUGACAAUUUAGUUGCUGAAUCUCUUCCUCAGCCUCAAAGAGAAAUGCCAGUGCCAGAACCACUUUUGCAACACAUGCUACUGCCAGUAGAUGUUGCUGCUGCUCCUUUCAAUGUUGCAGAUGAAAUUGGUGCUCCCGCUACUGCCUCCCUCAUUGCAACAAUAGUUCCAGAAGUUGCAGUUGCACCUUUGAUUGCAGAAGAGUUGACUGUUGAUGCUUCCAAAAUUGAUGACCUUGCUGCCUGA